AGGAUGGUGGCACAUGACUAUGGCCGCCAGUGGCUGGCAGAGCGUGACGCCUGGCACCAGCUGCACGCCACAUCGGACGAUCACCUGCGCGAGCGCAUGCUGGAGCGCUGCCGCGACACCGAGGCACGAUAUGUGGACAGCCAGAAAUGUUACCGUAACCUGAAGGAAGAAAUCGCCAGGGGACGCCUGGCCGGAUCAAAGAACAAGUACCGGCACAUUCAAGGGGCCCUCAACACUCACUGGAAUCCGUAUCCGCCUACCAAGGGCUGGCGAUGCUGAGGUGUCCAGCCUCGUGCGGUCCGGGCAGCGCCCCGGUCCUGUGGCAAAGCCAGAAGACCGGUAUCAAGCCAGAUCCCCGUGCACCGAACGGAUCACGUAGUCCAAACGAGGGCAGCCUGUAACGUGCUCCCUUGGCCAGUCAAAUCUUGUGGAUGAUCGGGAAAACAAAUAAACACCAGACGUCGUUUUC